rnacentral:rRNA from 1 species
GACGAACGCUGGCGGCGUGCUUAACACAUGCAAGUCGAACGGAAAGGCCCUGCUUUUGUGGGGUGCUCGAGUGGCGAACGGGUGAGUAACACGUGAGUAACCUGCCCUUGACUUUGGGAUAACUUCAGGAAACUGGGGCUAAUACCGGAUAGGAGCUCCUGCUGCAUGGUGGGGGUUGGAAAGUUUCGGCGGUUGGGGGUGGACUCGCGGCUUAUCAGCUUGUUGGUGGGGUAGUGGCUUACCAAGGCUUUGACGGGUAGCCGGCCUGAGAGGGUGACCGGCCACAUUGGGACUGAGAUACGGCCCAGACUCCUACGGGAGGCAGCAGUGGGGAAUAUUGCACAAUGGGCGGAAGCCUGAUGCAGCAACGCCGCGUGCGGGAUGACGGCCUUCGGGUUGUAAACCGCUUUCGCCUGUGACGAAGCGUGAGUGACGGUAAUGGGUAAAGAAGCACCGGCUAACUACGUGCCAGCAGCCGCGGUGAUACGUAGGGUGCGAGCGUUGUCCGGAUUUAUUGGGCGUAAAGGGCUCGUAGGUGGUUGAUCGCGUCGGAAGUGUAAUCUUGGGGCUUAACCCUGAGCGUGCUUUCGAUACGGGUUGACUUGAGGAAGGUAGGGGAGAAUGGAAUUCCUGGUGGAGCGGUGGAAUGCGCAGAUAUCAGGAGGAACACCAGUGGCGAAGGCGGUUCUCUGGGCCUUUCCUGACGCUGAGGAGCGGAAGCGUGGGGAGCGAACAGGCUUAGAUACCCUGGUAGUCCACGCUGUAAACGGUGGGUACUAGGUGUGGGGUCCAUUCCACGGGUUCCGUGCCGUAGCUAACGCUUUAAGUACCCCGCCUGGGGAGUACGGCCGCAGGGCUAAAACUCAAAGGAAUUGACGGGGCCCCGCACAAGCGGCGGAGCAUGCGGAUUAAUUCGAUGCAACGCGUAGAACCUUACCUGGGUUUGACAUGGAUCGGGAGUGCUCAGAGAUGGGUGUGCCUCUUUUGGGGUCGGUUCACAGGUGGUGCAUGGCUGUCGUCAGCUCGUGUCGUGAGAUGUUGGGUUAAGUCCCGCAACGAGCGCAACCCUUGUUCACUGUUGCCAGCACGUUAUGGUGGGGACUCAGUGGAGACCGCCGGGGUCAACUCGGAGGAAGGUGGGGAUGACGUCAAGUCAUCAUGCCCCUUAUGUCCAGGGCUUCACGCAUGCUACAAUGGCUGGUACAGAGAGUGGCGAGCCUGUGAGGGUGAGCGAAUCUCGGAAAGCCGGUCUCAGUUCGGAUUGGGGUCUGCAACUCGACCUCAUGAAGUCGGAGCCGCUAGUAAUCGCAGAUCAGCAACGCUGCGGUGAAUACGUCCCCGGG